UAGCUGCAGAGUCAACUGAAGUCGAAACAGUAGGCAUACAACCUAGUGAGUCUUCGCAAGUGGGCUAGACUUGACGCAUGAAUGGCUUCGAUCAUCACACAUUCAGAUAAUAAUCUUAUCGCUCUGAAAAUAUGUUGAUGGAUGGUGUGAUUUGUCAUUAAGAGAAGAAAUGGCCAGUGAUAUUUAUAUCACCCACUACAUCCCCUUUUCGAGUUUUAGAGAGGACAUGUAAAUGAUCUGUAUCCUGAACAAACCGCAAAUCAUUUAAUAACAAAAUAAAGAUUAUUAUUUUUGAA